CAGAUCUGGUUUUCUUCACAUAACUUUUGCCAUUUUUUCUCCGCCGAAAAAACUGAUAGCUCUCGCCUCUUCCCUUUUACCAUCUCGUCCGUUUCUUCAAUCUCUUUUUUUUUUAUCAUCUCGUCCAUCUCGUCUCCGUCGUUCCAUUAAUGGGUUUUUACAGAAGUUGAUUGAACACAGAAGAGAAGAAAAAUGUGAUGUUUUUACAUGUAAGAUUAAGGUUUCAAUGAGAAUCGGUAAUGAGAUAAAGAUUAUGGGUCUGCGGUUUAGAGAAAUUGAAUGAAAACAGGGAUAGUUGAUGGUCAUGGUGUCGAUCCGUGUGCUGAUUCAAACUCAACAGAAAGUUUCUUUGAAGGAUUUUGAUGCUUGGGUAUCCAUCAGUAGCUGAAAGCAAUCACCAGUUUGGGGCAAUUUUCUGCUUACCUUUUUUUUCCUCGUUUGAGCAAAUCUUAGUCAUCGUUUUGCUCUGUAUAACCCGUUUGAUAUAGUGUCUCACUAGCAAAUGUUAUGAAUUCCUUACGCUUAAAUCCUAUUUAAGAUAAUUUUCUACUUUCUCACAGUAGUUAACUAGUUAUAGUGGUGAAGAAGAUAUGCUCUCGUUUGAACUACAAAUUCUGCGUGUAACUAGAGAUUUCUGAUCUCCAAUCCAGUUCACAAGUGAAAUUAUCAAAAGUUCAAUGUUAAUUUUCCUUAGCUACACUUCAUAUUUCUUGGCCCUGUCUCUUUUUAAACAUUUAUGAAUUUCUUUUUUUAUUAAUAGUAAAAUGGGAAUGAUAUUAAGUUUCCUCAAUUUUUUGCAUUUCUGGUUGUAGUUGAGUAUUUGAGGAUUUGGAGUUGUGCUGUACGCAUUUUAUCUGAGAUGGUUGCAUUCAAAAUUAGUCCGUGGUUUGAAUAAACGCUGCAUGAAUUGAUUAUCCUUCCACCCCAAAAGACCUGAAUUAUUUGCUGGGAAGCUCCUCAGUCUACAGAAAGGUGUAUUGUUAAGGGUGAAAAUGAAAGUGGUUCGGAGAUGCUCAAAAGCUUGUUGCUGCCAUGUUCACUUUAGUUCAUAAGCUUCAAUCGACUAUUAUCUUUAUUGAUGAGGUUGAUGGCUUUUGGAGGCAUCGCCGUGCUACUGACCACGAAGCUUUGACAAACAUGAAAACAAAGUUCAUGGCUCUCUGGGAUGGUUUUACCACAAACCAUGACAGUAUGCAGGAUUGUCAUCUAGAGGCAGUUCACAUUUAGGCUUCCAAGGCUCUCCUCAGCCAGCGGUAGCAAUCUGAGGAGGAAAAUAAAUUUCGUUCAGUAUUUCAAGAACAAAUCUGCACCAGAUACUGAUGGACCUGGUUCUGCGUCUCUGAGCCUGGUAUGACAAGUAUCUGGACCAGGUCCUGAUGAGGAAGGGAGAAGCAGAGUCGCAGGAUGAUAAAUGAAAGUCAUCAUGGAACUUGGACAAGAACCACUAGUUGCACAGAUGAUCCAUCUUUUGUUUUGUUUUUUGUUUUUAUGCCAUCAGGUGUGUUCUUAUCAUGUCCCAAACUUUCCAAAGGCAUUUUUGGAUGUUGAUAAUCUUAGUUACCAGGUUUUUUUAACUAUCUGGGUGUUGUUCUGUUGCCCAGAUUUAAUUUUUUUAAACAGUUAAACAUCUUACUUUUGGAUAUGUAAGUUUCUAUGGUGUAACAAUGUAAAAACUUGUUAUGAACAGUAUAAGUUUCUGGUUCAGUGUGAAUGAUGCGAGUUUU